rnacentral:tRNA from 1 species
GGAUCGGUGGCCGAGUGGCUUAAGGCACACGCUUGGAAAGCGUGCAUACGGAAACGUAUCGGGGGUUCGAAUCCCCCCCAAUCCG